UACGAUGCAUACCCACUCACUGGUGGUGGUUCCCUGGUAAGCGGCCCUGACAGCUUGGUUCACCAGAGCUGAGAUGGGCAGAGUUAAGGAAGGCGUUUGACAGAUCACCUGAUCUGGGAUGGGAGACAUUUGUGCAUCAAUGUAGAUGGAAGCACGUGCCACCCAAGCUUUGCAUUAAUGUGCCAUCUGUGCAGUGAGGGCCAGUUGGUAAGCUUGCUCUGUAUCUUUCUUAACACGUCAUAACUUCAGCAUAUUUAAUCCUUAAAAUAAUUAAACCCUCCUGCUUACUCAAACUUAAACAACAACAAACAAAAGAAACCUUCACAUGACUCCUUUGGCAAGUUGGAACAGUUUGCCCAACCUUUUUUUCCUCUCUAUUCCAAGCACACAUUUUAUUUCAAGAGAGAAGUUGUACUUUAGAGCGGGGCUUCUCAAACUUUAGUGUGUAACGUAAUAGGAAUCAUCUGGGGAUCUUGUUAAACUUCCCACUGGCAUUUGGUAGUUCUGGAUGGCACCAGAGAUACGCAUUUUGUAACAGGCUCUGGUGAUGCAAUGCUGCCUAUCUGUGGACACACGUUUAGAGGCAAAGUUUUACACCUAGUCCCUAAACCAUGAAGGUAGUUUAAAGGUUCUUACAGAACAUCCUGUGGUCGCUGCUAGUAACUUAAGAGAUUAGAUAACAGCCUCACUCUUUGCUUACUUUGCUUCAGAACUGGUUCAAGACUCCAUGGGGGUGUGCAAGAUACAGUGAAAUAUACAAGCCGCAAAAUUAAAAGUCCAAAAAAGAAUCACUGCCAUUUCCUCCACAAUUAAGAAUAUUAAGAGCUGCAUUUUGGGGAAGACAAGUUGACAAAACCCAAUUUAUUGAUUGAUUUAAUACUCCGUUACAGUGGCAGAUGUGCUGCUUCUUGUCACAGAAUUUAUGAGUUGGCUGAACUUUGUCUUGCCUUUUGGUAAUUAUUUUUCUUUUCAUUUAUAUUUUCAAGAGCUAAAAUAAGGUUUUACAAUUUAGGAAUAAAGUAACUGAAUUUGUACUUUA